rnacentral:snoRNA from 1 species
UCCCAAUGAAGAAACAUUCACACCGUGUACUUUCUAUCCUAGCCCCAGAAUCUGUAAAGAUGAACCCACUAAGACUGGCUGGGGGAAGAAGAGGAAAACUUGUUCCAGAAGGAAUUGUUUGAGGGAU